UCUCGGAGGCCCCCGCGUGGUCUGUCUCGGAGGCGACUCGAGCGGCACACUCCGCCACCACCGCCACACCCCCACUGCCGCCGUCCUCUCCACCUCACCGCCGCCGGAGCUGGACACCGGAAGUCCAUGUGCCUGCUAGGAAGGUAGUGACGGGGGUUCUCUCGUUCGCGGACCACGUCGCGCCGGCGCCGGCCAUGGUGGUAGUGGUGGCCCGGGGAAGCAGAUCCGGCGGCCCGAGGACCGGAUCCGGCAGCCACGGGGCUGGAUCUACACAUUGCGCCGGCAGCGGCUCCCCAUCCCUCGCGAGUGCAUCCGUGGUGGCCGGCGGCCGGAUCCGGCGCCCUUGAGCCCGGAUCUGCUCGGUGCUCUAGCGGCGGCUUCCCCCACGGUCGCCGGCGUGCGCAUGCUCGCAGGUGCGUUGGUCCAAGGGGAUGACGGAGGCGGGGUUCGCGGAGGCAUGAGCGGCCAACCGGCAUGACUUCAAGCCGGUGCUGGGGCUGCUGGGUGGUCUCGUGACGGACUGCGGCAUCCGCCGCGGUGCGGGUGGGUGGCCGUGGUGGCCAGCAGGCCGUGCUCGCGGCCACGCACAGUCUGCAGGAGCUGUCCUUAGCGGCAGCGGCAGCCUGCUGCUGGGGCGCAUUCGUCGGUCACGCGGCUCGGCCGGACUGCGGCGGCGCCAGGCAACAGCUGCUGACGCUCACAAGGCGGCAUGGCUUGGUGUGGCCGCGGUUUCUGUGACGGCCUAUGGUCCCGGCUGCGAGUAGACCGCCGGAUUGGGGCUGCUGGUCGGCAGCUUCUCGUGGGUGUGGCAGGCAGGGUGCAGGGCGACGGCUUCAUCGGUGGCCGACCUUCUUGUGCUGGCAUGCGGACUUGGCUUGGUGUGCACAGGGAGAAAUCUCAGCCGGCGUCAUGCGGGUCAGCAAUGGUGCUGCUUGUUGCAGUGAUUUCCUCGCUAGAGGCUUUGCCAAUAUGCUAUCCUAUUUGCAGGUCCGUGAGUGUCGGGUGAUAUGGGAAACCGUUCGAGGAAAUUCUUGGCCGGCGUAGCGCUGGCGUCAGCAUUAGUGACAUCUUUUGGUGCCCUCACCUCGCUGGAGGCGAUGCUGAUAUAUCCUCCUACCCUUGCGUCAAACGGAGGUUUAUGUGAAAAGGCAAGCAACAAACCAUCCGGAUAUCAAGCUUCUAAGCAGCGCUUUUGCUCUAGAUUCGAGCUAACUUCUCCGUCAAGACGGCGACUUGUUCAUUUUGAAGCAUCAUGUCUCGCCGACUGAGAAGAAUUAGAGGAGAAGAACAUGCAUCAACUUCUUCUUGUUUGCUGGCGGUUGCAGUGCACCCAACCCAAGGCCAUCUUCUGCAUGAGGAAUAAGGAUGCAUCAUACGUACUGCUGAGAAAAAGAAAUUGAGAAGAAACAGUGAAGACGAAGGCAAGAUCGGAGGCAAUUUGUUAUUCCUCAGGAACUCACUCGACGCAUGGACAUGACGGAGUCAGAGAACCAUGAACUGUAUCGAUGGAGUUAACAAGAAGUCACUAUCUCUCACCGAUUGAGAAGAUUAGCGGAGAAGAAAACAAUCAUUCUUCAUCAACGGGAAA